UACAGAGGGUGCAAGCGUUGUUCGGAAUUACUGGGCGUAAAGCGCGUGUAGGCUGCGAUGUAAGUCAGGUGUGAAAGCCCUCAGCUUAACUGAGGAAGUGCACUUGAUACUGCAUCGCUCGAGUGUCGGAGGGGGUGGCGGAAUUCCCGGUGUAGAGGUGAAAUUCGUAGAUAUCGGGAGGAACACCUGUGGCGAAGGCGGCCACCUGGACGACAACUGACGCUGAGACGCGAAAGCGUGGGUAGCAAACAGG
rnacentral:rRNA from 1 species